GAAUAAAAGGGAAUCAUGACGGAAUAUUUCCUUCUUGUGUCCUUAAGGGGUUAAUUAUGCUUUUUCUUUCAUUGGAGAUAUAUCUAAAAACAGUUUGCAGAAGCUGCAGAUCUCUUGUCUGAAACCUUUGCAAGCCCCUUCUUCCCUAGCCUAGACUUUCUUUGGCUGUCCAAUUACAGACUUCCUAAUGUAACUCAAUGAAAAAUGUAUUCAAUUUUGAGGAAUUGCCUGCCUCUUGAUUAUAGCACCACUGAGCUAAACAACCAGGAAGUAACAGGGCCUGCUGUCUG